rnacentral:rRNA from 1 species
GACGAACGCUGGCGGCGUGCUUAACACAUGCAAGUCGAACGAGUGGCGAACGGGUGAGUAACCCGUGGGGGAUCUGCCUUGAACGUCGGGAUAAGCUUGGGAAACUGGGUCUAAUACCGGAUAGUGCAAGAUGAGCUCGCGGCCUAUGAGCUUGUUGGUGGGGUAAUGGCUACCCAGGCGAGACGGGUAGACGGACUGAGAGGGUGUACGGCGCCAUUGGGACGGAGAGAAGGCCCAGACUCCGACGGGAGGCAGCAGUGGGGAAUAGUGCACAAGGGGCGGCAGCCGGAUGCAGAGACGCCGCGUGGGGGAUGAAGGCCUUCGUGUUGUAAACUCCUUUCGACAGGGACGCGGUACCUGUAUAAGAAGCACCGGCUAACUACGUGCCAGCCGCCGCGGUAAUAC